AGACACAAAUGAGAGAUGAAGAAGUGGAAGCAGCAAGGACAGACAUACAAGUUCAAGAAAUUUGGAGUGGAUGCAAACACAGAUGGGAAGGUAAGCUUCAACAGGACACUGCCAGGAAGAAGCAUGAAGAAAGAGAUAAACCCAGAGGCGGAAUGAACCCUUUGGCAGUGGAGAUAUCUGACCAUGGAGAUGCUUCUGAAUGUCACCCACCAAGAAGCUGUGAG
rnacentral:lncRNA from 10 species